GGCUGGAUAGCUCAGCUGGCUAGAGCAUGGUCCUGCAAACGCCAAGGUUGCAGAUUCAAUCCCAGCUGCAUAGUCCUGCCU